GACGAACGCUGGCGGCGUGCCUAAUACAUGCAAGUAGAACGCUGAAGGAGGAGCUUGCUUCUCUGGAUGAGUUGCGAACGGGUGAGUAACGCGUGGGUAACCUGCCUGGUAGUGGGGGAUAACUAUUGGAAACGAUAGCUAAUACCGCAUAAUAUUGACUAUUGCAUGAUAGUCAGUUGAAAGGUGCAACUGCACCACUACCAGAUGGACCUGCGUUGUAUUAGCUAGUUGGUGGGGUAACGGCUCACCAAGGCGACGAUACAUAGCCGACCUGAGAGGGUGAUCGGCCACACUGGGACUGAGACACGGCCCAGACUCCUACGGGAGGCAGCAGUAGGGAAUCUUCGGCAAUGGACGGAAGUCUGACCGAGCAACGCCGCGUGAGUGAAGAAGGGUUUCGGAUCGUAAAGCUCUGUUGUAAGAGAAGAACGAGUGUGAGAGUGGAAAGCUCACACUGUGACGGUAUCUUACCAGAAAGGGACGGCUAACUACGUG
rnacentral:rRNA from 1 species